GAUGAUGUAGCUUUCCGUCAAGGUAAGUGAGAAUGGUCGAUGAUGUAGCUUUCCGUCAAGGUAAGUGGGAAUGGUCGAUGAUGUAGCUUUCCAUCAAGGUAAGUGAGAAUGGUCGAUGAUGUAGCGUUCCCGUCAAGGUAUGUGAGAAUGGUCGAUGAUGUAGCGUUCCCGUCAAGGUAUGUGAGAAUGGUCGAUGAUGUAGCGUUCCCGUCAAGGUAAGUGAGAAUGGUCGAUGAUGUAGUUUUCCGUCAAGAUAAGUGAGAAUGGCCGAUGAUGUAGCUUUCCAUCAAGGUAAGUGAGAAUGGUCGAUGAUGUAGUUUUCCGUCAAGAUAAGUGAGAAUGGCCGAUGAUGUAGCUUUCCAUCAAGGUAAGUGAGAAUGGUCGAUGAUGUAGCUUUGCAUCAAGGUAAGUAAGAAUGGUCGAUGAUGUAGCUUUCCGUCAAGGUAUGUGAGAAUGGUCGAUGAUGUAGCUUUGGAUCAAGGUAAGUGAGAAUGGUCGAUGAUGUAGCGUUCCCGUCAAGGUAUGUGAGAAUGGUCGAUGAUGUAGUUUUCCGUCAAGGUAUGUGAGAAUGGCCGAUGAUGUAGUUUUCCAUCAAGGUAAGUGAGAAUGGUCGAUGAUGUAAU